UACGCGUAGGCGCCUGGCAACUCAACCAAUGGUAGUAUUUUUUGUGCUAAAUAUUUUCAUUGUUUGGUUAAGUUUUCUUUCAAAAAAUAUGUGUUUCAUUAUGCAUACAUUCAACUUUCGUUGGUCUGAUUCUUUUUCAAUUCAGAGGAAAGAUUUGCUAUGUUUUUCUUUAUUUAGCUUUAGCAAAUCGGACAAGGGAUGUACAGAUAGUGUUUGGUCCAUUCACAAGACUGUGUGUGAUCAUCCCAGCAUUAUCAAACUACAAGAAACCGACAAAAUUGGAUUUCUGGAAAGGGGUUCGAGCCCCGUGCCAGGAAGGGAUUUGUGCAUACAAGUAUCAGGUUUGUUCUUUUGCAAAAUGUCUAACAUAGCGGAGAAGAGAUCAUGGAAAGAGUUGUAUUUGGUGGAUGAUGGUCAAAAGGUUUGUGUAAAGUUGAAAUCAUUUUUCUUAGCAAAAAAAGUUGAAAUCAUUUUGGUUGGGGAAAAGAAACACGAGGGAAAGAAGUUUUGUGUUAUGGUCCAAACUCCAAAGCUAUUGUAAUUUGUGUGUUAAUCUUACCCACAAAUUUAAAAA